CGGGAGGCAGCAGUAGGGAAUCUUCGGCAAUGGACGAAAGUCUGACCGAGCAACGCCGCGUGAGUGAAGAAGGUUUUCGGAUCGUAAAACUCUGUUGUUAGAGAAGAACAAGGAUGAGAGUAACUGUUCAUCCCUUGACGGUAUCUAACCAGAAAGCCACGGCUAACUACGUGCCAGCAGCCGCGGUAAUACGUAGGUGGCAAGCGUUGUCCGGAUUUAUUGGGCGUAAAGCGAGCGCAGGCGGUUUCUUAAGUCUGAUGUGAAAGCCCCCGGCUCAACCGGGGAGGGUCAUUGGAAACUGGGAGACUUGAGUGCAGAAGAGGAGAGUGGAAUUCCAUGUGUAGCGGUGAAAUGCGUAGAUAUAUGGAGGAACACCAGUGGCGAAGGCGGCUCUCUGGUCUGUAACU
rnacentral:rRNA from 1 species